CUCUUGUUCUGAAUAUGGAUUUACAGGGUCUAGGCCAAUUGGGACCAUUGUAUGGAUUCCAGGUUGGGUGAUGUCCAGCUGGAAGGAGGAAAAAGGGUACGCGUCUCUCCUGGUGGAGCUAGGACUCAAAGUAGCAUUAAAUGACUCCCUAGGGAGUCACAUCUUUGGCACAGAGACAGUCACACACACCUGCACCAUUUCAUUUGGGGAUGCAACGCCUUUAAAACAGACUUCCAGCCAAGAGCAGCUCCGUGCUGCUCCCACUGACUCAGCCAGAGAAGACAGCUCCUCGCUCAAACCAUCUCAGUGUAGCUCCAAUCAAGUUGGCCAGCAGGGGGAUGCUCCCAGAUGAGACCAGAUCAGCUAGCCCAGAAGGAGGAAACCCAACCAAGAGAGUCUGUCCAUGCAUGGCUCCUACCAUCUCAGCCAGGGAAAGGAUGACAGCAGCAUGUGCAUGAAGGAAAGAUUAGCUAAGGACUGUGACUGAGGUAUCCGUUAGCUAUUGCACUUCAGAGAGAGAGGGAGCACGCACAAGUAACUUCAGCCUCUUCACCUGGACCUGGGAGAACAAAUAAUGUAUCUGAUGAAUUUCACUUUUCCCAUUUGCGAGCUGUGAUUUUUUAAUGAAAUUCUUUGUGAUUUGAAAUGUGUUUUUCCUGGGACCCUGUCUCAGCCCAAUUCUGCUUGCAGAAUAUUUGCUGUAUACACUCAACGACUCAUCAUUCAUUAUUGGUACUGUGUGAUUGGUCACCUUAGUCACAUGAGUUUGUUUCUGUCCCUAGUUUGGAUGAAUGAAACUUUUAUUAAUGGUGGAGGAGGUGCUUGAAGAAGUUACUUCCAUUGGGGGUUUUGGUAUAACCCUUCUACAAGGACUCAUACAACUCACUGCCACAUGCACACAAAGGCACAUGUGUCUCUUGCUUUCAGAGAAUAUUUCUCCUGAACAAAAA